rnacentral:rRNA from 1 species
UACGGAGGGGGCUAGCGUUGUUCGGAAUUACUGGGCUUAAAGCGCACGUAGGCGGCUUUGUAAGUUAGAGGUGAAAGCCCGGAGCUCAACUCCGGAACUGCCUUUAAGACUGCAUCGCUUGAACGUCGGAGAGGUAAGUGGAAUUCCGAGUGUAGAGGUGAAAUUCGUAGAUAUUCGGAAGAACACCAGUGGCGAAGGCGACUUACUGGACGACUGUUGACGCUGAGGUGCGAAAGCGUGGGGAGCAAACAGG